CGUUUCCUCGGCGGGGCCGCCCGCCGAUUGGACAACGUUCAAACCCUUUGCAGUUGCAAGCAGCGUCUGAAAAAACAUAAUAGUUACAACUUUCAACAACGGAUCUCUUGGUUCUGGCAUCGAUGAAGAACGCAGCGAAAUGCGAUAAGUAGUGUGAAUUGCAGAAUUCAGUGAAUCAUCGAAUCUUUGAACGCACAUUGCGCCCCUUGGUAUUCCAUGGGGCAUGCCUGUUCGAGCGUCAUUUGUACCUUCAAGCUCUGCUUGGUGUUGGGUGUUUGUCUCGCCUCUGCGUGUAGACUCGCCUUAAAACAAUUGGCAGCCGGCGUAUUGAUUUCGGAGCGCAGUACAUCUCGCGCUUUGCACUCAUAACGACGACGUCCAAAAGUACAUUUUUACACUCUUGACCUCGGAUCAGGUAGGGAUACCCGCUGAACUUAAGCAUAUCAAUAAGCGGAGGAA
rnacentral:misc_RNA from 1 species